AAUUAAGUUAAGGCUAGCAACUUUGUUUCCCUCUUCAUUUAUUUCCAGUACUUCAAAACACAAUGAAAACGCAAUUUCUUCAUCAGUCUUCUUUUCUCCCCGAAACACAAGUACCUUCUUCUUCAUCAACAGCCAACUUUCGUCCGACUCAAAAGAAAAUCCCUUAUCCAAUCGAAGCGCUCAAUGGAUUUCACCUUCUCUCCAGUGAAACCUGCAUCCCUCAGAUCCCCAAUUGUCAACUCCUCAACUGAUUCACCACUCCCUCGUACUCCACUGAAACCCUAACUCGCUCUCUCCAACUCAUUCGCGAGCCCCUCAUACACCACCGCACUCCAACACAAUUCCCACUUUGUGACCUUAGCCUAUCCUUUUUAGACUGCGCCCUUAUGUUCAUCUCUCUCAGAUCUCAACUCCAUCCCCUAAUUUUUCCCCGGCGGUUAUUUCUCUCCCAAUUCAGAAUAAUGGCGAAGCAAUCUGAAGCCAGAAAUCAGAGAAUCUGGGCCAGGGCACCUCAUCCAGAUCGCCUUCCUCAUCAACAAGUAUCUCUCCGAUAACAGGCUACAUCGAAGCCUGCUUCGUUUUCCAAACUGAAGCCUCCUCGCUCUUCUCCUAGUCUUCGAUUCGAGAGGUGUCAAAGAGCUUGCUGAGUUUGUCUGAGAUUCUGAUCAAGUACAUAGCAUUGAAGGAGCAGAAAGUGUUGGACCAUGAGAAGGUUCAAGUGGAGCAAGAGAAGACCAGGGUUCAGAAGUUGUUGAAUGGGUUGCAGAACUCAAUAAACGUUUACAAUGCCAAUGGAAACCCCCAAAUCUCCAAAGUUUCGAAUGCGGCACCGAAACAAAUGCACAUGGCUCCUCAGUCUCGCCUAUCUAAUGGGUCUUCUACAGGUACAAUCCUAACCCCAUUUGCUUGUAUUUGAGAAAAUUUGAUUGAAUUGAGAAUAUAGAUGAUGUUGAUUCGGGCAUCCGAGAGCUAAAAAGUACCAAUUGAACUUGUAGAUGCUUCAUUUAUGCAUAAAGAACCUAUUUGAACCCAUUGAUAAUCAAAUAACAGAAUUUUACAAAUCCGGAAGUUACUAUCUGUCACUUGGUGACUUGGCUGAGAACUUGAAUUUCCAUAUUACUGGAUAGCUGUUGUAUUAGGCCAGGAAAUAUGAAAGUAACAUUUCUUGAAGUUUAGUUGUGUUUAGUCUCAACAAAUUUAAUGAGGCAAAGAAGUUUAAAUGAAAUUUCACUGCAUUCAUUUGUUUUUGUGCCUUGUUUUCAUCAAUUUGUUUGUUGUUACCAAAUAAUUUGGAAAAGGGCAAUAAUUUCCGAAACAAGAAGAGGAAAAAAGCCUGGUAACAUGAAACCAUAAAUGUAGUACUUGGUAGGGAUGACAGUGAAGAUUAACCCAAGUUUACUCUUUGAUAACAUAUCAACGUAAGAACCAUGAAUUGGUGAAUCCAAAAUUGUUCUUGCAAUGAGUCACAUGAAUAUAAGAAAAUAGAGGGAUUGGUUACUAGUUAGUGAGACUUCCUGUAUAACAUAUGUAUAAAUGGUGAUUAUUGUAAUAGCUCAAAAUUUAGUCUUGACUUAAUCAACCCCGUUGUGAAUCUGUUAUCUCAAUGUUUAAAGCAAAUUAGCUAGUAUACUAGUUCCAUGCUUCCUGUCAACAUGGCUUGGAAAGACAAACUCCAAGACUGGUGUCAAACUUUCAUGUUAAAGCCUCUGCAAACCCAAAUGGGCCUGAUGGGUUUUCUUGGGUGAGUCUGGCUCGGUCUAUAUGCCGCAGUUCGGAGCAGUUCUGGUCCAAUUUUGGUGACUCGGUGAAGAAGGAAACUGGGUUUGAUUUGAAGGAGGUGAAUGUGAAGGUGGGGGAGUAUUUGGGGCAAGCUGGGGAAGGAUUAAAGAGAGGUGGGACUAAGUUGGAACGGUUUUGGACCGAGUUAGUGCCCGAGUUUGUGAGUUGGAAUCAGUGGGAAAGAUGGAAGGAUAUCAAGACAUGGGAACCUAAAAGAGUUGCUGCAUUGGUUUUCUAUGUUUUUAUUGCCGUAGUUUCGUGUCAAAGAAUAUAUGUAGCAAUUUGAGCUCCUAUCCAAGAUAGCCAGAGGAAAGAGUUGACAGAGGCUUAUAUGGAGGCAGUGAUUCCUGAGCCAUCUCCGAGUAAUGUUAGAAAGCUCCUUGUUUUGUAUUUGUGGACGAGAUUGAUGCUAUUGCUGGAAGGCAUGCAAGACAUGAUUCACGGAAUAGGAACUAUGGUGGCAAGGUAUGGAAUACUUCCCCAGAUGAGCAAAACCGCCUCAAAGCUCAAGUCUUUAACAACCCAUGUAC